rnacentral:rRNA from 1 species
UACGAAGGUGGCAAGCGUUGUUCGGAAUUAUUGGGCGUAAAGCGCGCGCAGGCGGUCCUUUAAGUCUGAUGUGAAAGCCCACGGCUCAACCGUGGAAGGUCAUUGGAAACUGGGGGACUUGAGUACAGAAGAGGAAAGCGGAAUUCCACGUGUAGCGGUGAAAUGCGUAGAGAUGUGGAGGAACACCAGUGGCGAAGGCGGCUUUCUGGUCUGUAACUGACGCUGAGGCGCGAAAGCGUGGGGAGCAAACAGG